AAGAUUCAUUUCUCACAGAAAUAACAAUGUCUCAAAUUUACAAAUUAGUUUAUGCUUUAGUUAAUAUUUUUUUUCUCUUCCGUAUUGGAACGAACGGCAUAGGUCAACAACUUAAUUAUCAAGGGAGAUCAUAUUCUUAAAAUGGAGAUGAAGCUAUUAUUCAAGCUACCAAAGUGGACACAACCCGUUGAAUGUUGUAGCAUCAAUCAUGGAAGUGAGGUUUUUUUUCUUUCUAAAUUCUACAUUUUUAAUUUCCCGUGUUAUAACUAGUAAUUUAUGUUUGUAGUUGUGUACCAAACAAUUUUUUCAAACUUGUAGUAUGAGUAGUUAUACAACUAUUCAUAUUAUAGUUUGGGAGAGGGGAUAGUUUUUUAAUUUUUGUUGAAUAAUGCAUGAAAGAAUAGUUAACUUAUUGAUACUAGUUUGCUCAUGUAUUGAUUACAUUGGUUGAUUGAACUUGAAUGGUUAAAAUCUAAGGUA